UACGUAGGGCGCAAGCGUUGUCCGGAAUUAUUGGGCGUAAAGAGCUCGUAGGUGGUUUGCUGCGUCCGCUGUGAAAACCCAAGGCUUAACCUUGGGCUUGCAGUGGAUACGGGCAGGCUAGAGGUAGGUAGGGGAGAAUGGAAUUCCCGGUGUAGCGGUGAAAUGCGCAGAUAUCGGGAGGAACACCGGUGGCGAAGGCGGUUCUCUGGGCCUUACCUGACACUGAGGAGCGAAAGCGUGGGGAGCGAACAGG
rnacentral:rRNA from 1 species